AACCAGCACCUCGAGUGGUCAGGAGGUUUAUUGGGCCUAAAGCAUCCGUAGCCGGUUGCAUAAGUUUUCGGUUAAAUCUAUGCGCUUAACGUAUAGGCCGCCGAAAAUACUGUGCAGCUAGGGAGUGGGAGAGGUACACGGUACUCGAUAGGAAGGGGUAAAAUCCUUUGAUCUAUUGAUGACCACCUGUGGCGAAGGCGGUGUACCAGAACACGUUCGACGGUGAGGGAUGAAAGCUGGGGGAGCAAAC
rnacentral:rRNA from 1 species